rnacentral:rRNA from 1 species
UACGAAGGGUGCAAACGUUGCUCGGAAUUAUUGGGCGUAAAGAGCUCGUAGGCGGUUCGAUAAGUCGGACGUGAAAUCUCCACGCUCAACGUGGAGGGGCCGUUCGAUACUGUCGUGACUCGAGUCCGGUAGGGGAGUGUGGAAUUCCCGGUGUAGCGGUGAAAUGCGCAGAGAUCGGGAGGAACACCCGUAGCGAAGGCGGCACUCUGGGCCGGUACUGACGCUGAGGAGCGAAAGCGUGGGGAGCAAACAGG